rnacentral:sRNA from 1 species
GUCGCGGAUACGUAUGCCGUUUCAUGUC